UAGUGUUUCCCUGAAAGUAGGAAGAGGAUACCCACAGGCACAUAGAAGGGGAGAGAGAAACAGCGUGAUGAAUGUCUCCUGAGGAAGAGACAAGGGGCUGGGAGCUGAUACUGGAGGAGUUGUGGAAGUACGGAAUCCAGGCACUUCAGCAUGAAAAGAUGAAAACUGCCACAAAUGCAGCAAUGCUACAAUGCCACAAAACUGCUAGCAAAUGCAGCUGACACAGAGAAAAUGGAUCCAAGAGAUGGAGGGGAAUUGGGAGUUCAAGACUUGAGCCUGGAUCAAGCUUUUCCUGAAGCUCAUGAAACCUAUCAGAUUCUCAUCUGUUCUGUGUGGAGGGAAGGAAGCAUAUGGAAUAAAGAGCCUUGCACUGUCCUCAGCCAAAAACUGUCUAAGGAGAUCUGGUAUGGAGUUUGACUUGUGCAAAUGGAGUACAGAUUUGCAUUUUUAAGAGGAACUCUUGAAGACCUAUUGCCAGCAGUAGAAAUGUCACAUCUUUCUGUCUGUCAAGAGUGGCAAAAAUCCAUAUCCUACAAUAACCGGCUUUUACUUAUUGAUUCUACCCA